AUAGCGUAUAUUAAAGUUGUUGCGUUUAAAAAGCUCGUAGUUGGAUCUGCGGCCUAGGAUAGCGGUCCCCCAAUGGGUGGUCACUGCUUUUCCUGGCCUAAUAUCUCUGGUUUUCCCUUGCUGCUCUUCACUGAGUGGCUUGGGUGGCUGGAAAAUUUACUUUGAAAAAAUUAGAGUGCUUAAAGCAGGCGCAAGCCUGAAUAGUGGUGCAUGGAAUAAUGGAAUAGGACCUCGGUUCUAUUUUGUUGGUUUUCGGAGCUCGAGGUAAUGAUUAAGAGGGACAGACGGGGGCAUUAGUAUUGCGACGUUAGAGGUGAAAUUCUUGGACCGCCGGAAGACGGACGACUG
rnacentral:rRNA from 1 species